rnacentral:rRNA from 1 species
GCAGUCGGACGAGAAAUUCCGAUUCGUCGGGGAGAGUAAAGUGGCGAACGGGUGAGUAACACGAGGGUAAUCUACCCUUAAAUUAGGGAUAACCUUGCGAAAGCGAAGCUAAUACCUGAUAAGACUACAAUCUCCAAGGGGAUAGUAGGAAAAGAUGGCCUCUGUUUCAUGCUAUUGUUUAAGGAUGAGCCCUUGCACUAUUAGCUUGUUGGUGAGGUAAUGGCCCACCAAGGCUACGAUGGUUAGCUGGUCUGAGAGGAUGAUCAGCCACACUGGAACUGAGACACGGUCCAGACUCCUACGGGAGGCAGCAGUGAGGAAUAUUGCGCAAUGGGGGAAACCCUGACGCAGUGACGCCGCGUGAGCGAUGAAGGCUUUCGAGUCGUAAAGCUCUGUUAGGUGGAAAGAAACAUUCCAGUGCCAAUACCACUGGAAUUUGACGGUACCACCAGAGGAAGCACCGGCUAACUCCGUGCCAGCAGCCGCGGUAAUACGGAGGGUGCAAGCGUUGUUCGGAUUUACUGGGCGUAAAGGGCGUGUAGGCGGCUAGGCAAGUCAGGUGUGAAAUCCCUUGGCUCAACCAAGGAAGUGCAUUUGAAACUGCUUAGCUAGAGUACAGGAGGGGAAAGUGGAAUUCCCAGUGUAGAGGUGAAAUUCAUAGAUAUUGGGAGGAACACCAGUAGCGAAGGCGGCUUUCUGGCCUGAUACUGACGCUGAGACGCGAAA